AUACGGAGGGUGCAAGCGUUAUCCGGAAUCAUUGGGUUUAAAGGGUCCGUAGGCGGACUAUUAAGUCAGAGGUGAAAUCCCACAGCUCAACUGUGGAACUGCCUUUGAUACUGGUAGUCUUGAGUUAUAUGGAAGUAAAUAGAAUGUGUAGUGUAGCGGUGAAAUGCAUAGAUAUUACACAGAAUACCGAUUGCGAAGGCAGUCUACUACGUAUAUACUGACGCUAAGGGACGAAAGCGAGGGGAGCGAACAGGAUUAGAAACCCUAGUAGUCC
rnacentral:rRNA from 1 species